rnacentral:rRNA from 1 species
GGGGAAUUUUCCGCAAUGGGCGAAAGCCUGACGGAGCAAUACCGCGUGAGGGAGGAAGGCUCUUGGGUCGUAAACCUCUUUUCUCAGGGAAGAAAACAAUGACGGUACUUGAGGAAUAAGCAUCGGCUAACUCCGUGCCAGCAGCCGCGGUAAUACGGAGGAUGCAAGCGUUAUCCGGAAUGAUUGGGCGUAAAGCGUCCGCAGGUGGCAAUGAAAGUCUGCUGUUAAAGAGUCUAGCUCAACUAGAUAGAAGCAGUGGAAACUACAUAGCUAGAGUACGUUCGGGGCAGAGGGAAUUCCUGGUGUAGCGGUGGAAUGCGUAGAGAUCAGGAAGAACACCAGUGGCGAAGGCGCUCUGCUAGNGCCGUAACUGACACUGAGGGACGAAAGCUAGGGGAGCGAAUGGGAUUAGAUACCCCAGUAGUC